GAAGUGGCCUUUUCCCCUCUUGUUUUUGCCAUCUUAAGCUGGAAAUUGCGUAUGGUGUGGUCUGAAUAUAAUAGGAUGUUAGGUACUUUCCUGAGUUUGCCUCAAACAUGACCGCCAACAGUGCCUUCUCUCAUGAGGUACUUAAUCCAGGUACCAUUCAUUCAGAUCCUUCAGAAGUGAUUUCUUAAUGAGAUUUAAAGUUAUUGUGAAUGAGGAUUUAGAGCAUGUUCAACAAUUUUCAUUGCAGUCUCACUUAGUAGAGGAAUCUGCUUCCCGUACUCUUUCUUUUUAUAUGUAUCUCUAGGUAAUGGUACUUCAAGGGAACUAGGUCAAUAGCAGUGUAACUCAAACUUGACUGACCCAUGCAAACUGCUUGUUAUUUUAAUGUGAGAUGCUUUUCUGGUCUUUAUCCAACUUAGAGCCGAUUCAGUGUCCCAUUUUUAAAGAAUCUCUAGAGAGGAGGAUUCCAUGGCUUCUCUUGAGGUUUCACUGUAGAGUUUCACACUCUCAAACAUUAGGAAGGUAUUCCUAGUACUUUAUACCCAAAUUGCUCAUGUGGCUCUUUAAGACUCUCAGCUGGUCCUCAGCGGAGAUGGAAAACAGCUGCUCACCACCACCUGUGCUUGGAACUCUUCCACGCUUUGGAAGCCCAUUAAAUCAUGUCUCAGCUUGUGAAAUGAAGGCUCACAAAAAGGGUUUUUUUUGACCAGAGUUGGGGAUUAAAUCAGCUAAAUGUUUGGAAUUUUUUGGUAGCUAUGAUGACCAGACAUUCUGCAUUGCAAUAACAAUAGAUAUGUAUUUAUUGAGUACUUAUGUAAUAGGAGUGGAGCAAGCAUGCAGCCGUUAGUCUGUAAUUCUUAUCAGGAGACCUUGAGCGUGGCCAACAGUCAGUGUCCCAGUGGUCCUUGUGGCAGAGAGUGCAGAUUAAGGCCUUCUCCCUGGGGCCCUCUAGGCCCCCCAGCCUCCGGGCCAGUGGAUGAGCUGGGCAGCCUGGGGACAGGCUGAGGGCUGGAUCCUGAAGAGCUCCAGAGUCCUCACCGUAGCUGGGCACAGGCCUGGAAGCAGCAGCGAACCUUUUCCGCAAACCCACAGUCCAUGGAGGCCUCAGCAACUGGAGUGUACGGACAUGGCCUUUAAGUCUUUUUUUGGAAGUGUUGGCUGCUCACAGUUCUACAUACGUUGGAGAGAUCAGAGAUUCUGUCGACCUGGUUCCCAGCCCUGGCCCUAUGACUGAUGGAUGACAAGUGUACCAGUGAGAACUGAAACUUGCAGCACCUGGAUCCCUGUCGCUAAGAGGGAAGAACAGUACUGACCUACCUCAUGCAAUGAAGUGUCAUAUGCAUUAACUGUCUAAUGAUGCUAAAGCUCUCUGAGCAUGUAAACGUGGAACAUUAUCAUUAUGGUUAAUACUAGUCUCCAGGUUGUAAGUUUUUUCUUUCCUCAAAGAGAAGCAGAAAGAUUAUUUAAAGAAAUACUGAAUAGAAGGCUACAGUUUGUUCUUAAGUCAUGAUUGACUUUGAUCAGAAUGGUGUAAACAGUGCGUAUGCGGUCUUGAAGUCCUCAAGAUAAUUAUUUCUACUUCAGGGCAUGAAGACUUCUCUUUCUCCUCCUCCCAUCAAGGGAAAAAGAAAGAAAGAAAAAACUUGGAAAGCUAAUGCUCUUAAAAUACAAGACGAUUUGUCAGGUCUGGAAAUAGUGUUUCCUAAAACCCUUGCUACAAGAGAGGCCCAACUGAGUAGACAGAGCUGGACUCAGUCUUAAACAUCUUGCUAUGGAAAGACCCAGAAGCAGGAGAGGUUGCAAUGAGUUUUUAAAGCCCCUCCAGUUAUUUUUUAAUUCUAGAAUUUCAAGAGAGAAAGGAUUCUUGGAGAUCCAAUAUCCUUGUCCAGUGCCCUUUCCACUUGCACUGGUGAAUCCCCAGUGGUAUGUCUCCAACCGGUGUUGUAACAAGUUGCCACACACUUAAUGGCUUAAACCAACAUGAAUUUAUUAUCUUGCAGUUCUGGAGCUUGCAAGUCUGAAAAGAGUCUUAGGGACUAAACUUAAGGCAUUAGCAGGGCUGGUUCCUUCUGGAGGAUCCGGGGGAGACUCUUCCUUGCCUCUCUCAGCUCUGGUGGCUGCCCACAUUUCUUGACUUGUGGCCACAUCACAACAAUGUCCACUUCCAUCAUCACAUGGCCUUCUCCUCUUCUCUAGCGGUAAUCUCCCUCUUCCUCCCUCUUAUGAUGGGCCUUUUGAUUACACUGGACCUGCUUGGAUAAUCCAGGAUAAUCUCUCCGUCUCGAGAUCCAGGCCAAGGGAACAGCGAGUGUCAAGGUCUCGAGGUACAGCAUGCUUGAUGUGUAAUAACAGCCAUGAGGCCAGCAUGCUGUAGGUGAUGGAAGGGGAGGGAGUGGAAGGAGAAGAGCUCCCUGAAGCAGAGAGGCAGAUCUCAUAGGAUGUAGGGUCAAGGACCAGAUAUAGAUGGCAUUGUUGGCUCAAUGCUUUGCUGCCACAGUGCUGUGAAGACCAUCCUUUUC
ensembl:lncRNA